rnacentral:rRNA from 1 species
AUAACCUUGCGAAAGUAAGACUAAUACCCAAUGACGUCUCUAGAAGACAUCUGAAAGAGAUUAAAGAUUUAUCGGUGAUGGAUGGGGAUGCGUCUGAUUAGCUUGUUGGCGGGGUAACGGCCCACCAAGGCGACGAUCAGUAGGGGUUCUGAGAGGAAGGUCCCCCACAUUGGAACUGAGACACGGUCCAAACUCCUACGGGAGGCAGCAGUGAGGAAUAUUGGUCAAUGGACGAGAGUCUGAACCAGCCAAGUAGCGUGCAGGAAGACGGCCCUAUGGGUUGUAAACUGCUUUUAUAAGGGAAUAAAGUGAGAGUCGUGACUCUUUUUGCAUGUACCUUAUGAAUAAGGACCGGCUAAUUCCGUGCCAGCAGCCGCGGUAAUACGGAAGGUCCGGGCGUUAUCCGGAUUUAUUGGGUUUAAAGGGAGCGUAGGCCGGAGAUUAAGCGUGUUGUGAAAUGUAGAUGCUCAACAUCUGCACUGCAGCGCGAACUGGUUUCCUUGAGUACGCACAAAGUGGGCGGAAUUCGUGGUGUAGCGGUGAAAUGCUUAGAUAUCACGAAGAGCUCCGAUUG